AAAUACCACCCUUUAAUGUUUGAUGUUCUAACGUUGACCCGUAAUCCGGGUUGCGGACAGUGUCUGGUGGGUAGUUUGACUGGGGCGGUCUCCUCCUAAAGAGUAACGGAGGAGCACGAAGGUUGGCUAAUCCUGGUCGGACAUCAGGAGGUUAGUGCAAUGGCAUAAGCCAGCUUGACUGCGAGCGUGACGGCGCGAGCAGGUGCGAAAGCAGGUCAUAGUGAUCCGGUGGUUCUGAAUGGAAGGGCCAUCGCUCAACGGAUAAAAGGUACUCCGGGGAUAACAGGCUGAUACCGCCCAAGAGUUCAUAUCGACGGCGGUGUUUGGCACCUCGAUGUCGGCUCAUCACAUCCUGGGGCUGAAGUAGGUCCCAAGGGUAUGGCUGUUCGCCAUUUAAAGUGGUACGCGAGCUGGGUUUAGAACGUCGUGAGACAGUUCGGUCCCUAUCUGCCGUGGGCGCUGGAGAACUGAGGGGGGCUGCUCCUAGUACGAGAGGACCGGAGUGGACGCAUCACUGGUGUUCGGGUUGUCAUGCCAAUGGCACUGCCCGGUAGCUAAAUGCGGAAGAGAUAAGUGCUGAAAGCAUCUAAGCACGAAACUUGCCCCGAGAUGAGUUCUCCCUGACUCCUUGAGAGUCCUGAAGGAACGUUGAAGACGACGACGUUGAUAGGCCGGGUGUGUAAGCGCAGCGAUGCGUUGAGCUAACCGGUACUAAUGAACCGUGAGGCUUAACCUU
rnacentral:rRNA from 1 species